UACGUAGGUGGCAAGCGUUGUUCGGAAUUACUGGGCGUAAAGCGCGUGUAGGCGGCUCUUCAAGUCAGACGUGAAAGCCCCGGGCUUAACUCGGGAACUGCGUUUGAUACUGUCGAGCUAGAGUGUGGAAGGGGCGAUUGGAAUUCCGUGUGUAGCGGUGAAAUGCAUAGAUAUACGGAGGAACACCAGAGGCGAAGGCGGAUCGCUGGGCCAACACUGACGCUGAGACGCGAAAGCUAGGGGAGCAAACGGG
rnacentral:rRNA from 1 species